AGCGAACGCUGGCGGCAGGCCUAACACAUGCAAGUCGAACGAACUCUUCGGAGUUAGUGGCGGACGGGUGAGUAACACGUGGGAACGUGCCUUUUGGUUCGGAAUAACUCAGGGAAACUUGUGCUAAUACCGAAUGUGCCCUUCGGGGGAAAGAUUUAUCGCCAUUAGAGCGGCCCGCGUCUGAUUAGCUAGUUGGUGAGGUAACGGCUCACCAAGGCGACGAUCAGUAGCUGGUCUGAGAGGAUGACCAGCCACACUGGGACUGAGACACGGCCCAGACUCCUACGGGAGGCAGCAGUGGGUGAUCUUGCGCAAUGGGCGAAAGCCUGACGCAGCCAUGCCGCGUGAAUGAUGAAGGUCUUAGGAUUGUAAAAUUCUUUCACCGGGGACGAUAAUGACGGUACCCGGAGAAGAAGCCCCGGCUAACUUCGUG
rnacentral:rRNA from 1 species